GUUGGAGUUUAUUUAUUCAGUAGAAAAUCUCUUUUCACAUCCAAAACGCCAAACAACAAUGCCAUUUCUCCCUCCCAGUACACUUGAGUAUUAGAGUGUAAUGAUUGGAAAAGCUAUUGGCUUCUUAAAUCAAAAACUUCCUAAUUGUAAACUAACCAUUCUGUACUAAAUCAAUUCUAGGCAAAACAUUACAUCCUGACCCAAAAAAAAGGACUUUCACUGGAUCCGGUAAGAGUUAAACCGAUAAAACAAACAAGAAUCAGUUUUACCUGUAAUUAUACUGACAGACAGAAAACAA
rnacentral:misc_RNA from 1 species